rnacentral:lncRNA from 1 species
AAGCCGCUCUCUCCUUCCUCCGAUGUUCUUAACGUCCCCGACGGAAGAAUAGGAUCCGGGAGCCAGGCGCAGCCGGAGCUGCGGGACCCGUUGCUGGAGACAGCAGCUCUUGCCCAUCGGAAGGCCAGGUGUGCGUGAGCUGUGCCCAGGGGUGUCCCGCGCCCCGGUGCCCUGCGGGCUCUAACAGCUGGGAUCGCCCGGGAGAACUGGGCCCAGGGCUCAGGUGGAGCUGCCGAUGCCCCGGGCUGAAAGGUGAGACCACGCUGGUGAGGCUGGGACAAGACCUUGCACCUCCAGACCUGGGCCGAGACCACAAGGGGAGCCGCCAAGAUGCCAGAGGAAAAUAUCUUCCUGUUCGUGCCUAAUCUUAUUGCGGACUUCUAGACGCUUUCGAUGGACACGCAGCUCGAGCCCUUAAUCAAGGAACCCGAUUUGGGGCCAUGCUCGACAUGCUGACGGACCGUUGCGCCACCAUGUGUCUCUUGGUCAACCUGGCCCUGCUCUACCCUCGGGCCACUCUUCUGUUCCAGCUCAGCAUGAGCCUGGACGUGGCCAGUCACUGGCUGCAUCUGCACAGUUCUGUGGUGCGAGGCAGUGAGAGCCACAAGAUGAUUGACCUGUCUGGGAACCCUGUGCUUCGAAUCUACUAUACUUCCAGGCCUGCUCUGUUCACCCUGUGUGCUGGAAAUGAACUCUUCUACUGCCUCCUGUACCUGUUCAAUUUCUCCGAGGGACCACUAGAGCAGAUUUAGAUCUUUCUCGUCUCUGCCUGGAGUGAAAAGUAGCCUGGCAUGUGGUAACUGCUUAAUAAAUAUUCAUGGAAAGAUG